rnacentral:rRNA from 2 species
AGAGUUUGAUCAUGGCUCAGAUUGAACGCUGGCGGCAGGCCUAACACAUGCAAGUCGAGCGGUAGCACAGAGAGCUUGCUCUCGGGUGACGAGCGGCGGACGGGUGAGUAAUGUCUGGGAAACUGCCUGAUGGAGGGGGAUAACUACUGGAAACGGUAGCUAAUACCGCAUAAUGUCGCAAGACCAAAGUGGGGGACCUUCGGGCCUCAUGCCAUCAGAUGUGCCCAGAUGGGAUUAGCUAGUAGGUGGGGUAACGGCUCACCUAGGCGACGAUCCCUAGCUGGUCUGAGAGGAUGACCAGCCACACUGGAACUGAGACACGGUCCAGACUCCUACGGGAGGCAGCAGUGGGGAAUAUUGCACAAUGGGCGCAAGCCUGAUGCAGCCAUGCCGCGUGUGUGAAGAAGGCCUUCGGGUUGUAAAGCACUUUCAGCGGGGAGGAAGGCGUUAAGGUUAAUAACCUUGUCGAUUGACGUUACCCGCAGAAGAAGCACCGGCUAACUCCGUGCCAGCAGCCGCGGUAAUACGGAGGGUGCAAGCGUUAAUCGGAAUUACUGGGCGUAAAGCGCACGCAGGCGGUCUGUCAAGUCGGAUGUGAAAUCCCCGGGCUCAACCUGGGAACUGCAUUCGAAACUGGCAGGCUAGAGUCUUGUAGAGGGGGGUAGAAUUCCAGGUGUAGCGGUGAAAUGCGUAGAGAUCUGGAGGAAUACCGGUGGCGAAGGCGGCCCCCUGGACAAAGACUGACGCUCAGGUGCGAAAGCGUGGGGAGCAAACAGGAUUAGAUACCCUGGUAGUCCACGCCGUAAACGAUGUCGAUUUGGAGGUUGUGCCCUUGAGGCGUGGCUUCCGGAGCUAACGCGUUAAAUCGACCGCCUGGGGAGUACGGCCGCAAGGUUAAAACUCAAAUGAAUUGACGGGGGCCCGCACAAGCGGUGGAGCAUGUGGUUUAAUUCGAUGCAACGCGAAGAACCUUACCUGGUCUUGACAUCCACAGAACUUUCCAGAGAUGGAUUGGUGCCUUCGGGAACUGUGAGACAGGUGCUGCAUGGCUGUCGUCAGCUCGUGUUGUGAAAUGUUGGGUUAAGUCCCGCAACGAGCGCAACCCUUAUCCUUUGUUGCCAGCGGUCCGGCCGGGAACUCAAAGGAGACUGCCAGUGAUAAACUGGAGGAAGGUGGGGAUGACGUCAAGUCAUCAUGGCCCUUACGACCAGGGCUACACACGUGCUACAAUGGCAUAUACAAAGAGAAGCGACCUCGCGAGAGCAAGCGGACCUCAUAAAGUAUGUCGUAGUCCGGAUUGGAGUCUGCAACUCGACUCCAUGAAGUCGGAAUCGCUAGUAAUCGUAGAUCAGAAUGCUACGGUGAAUACGUUCCCGGGCCUUGUACACACCGCCCGUCACACCAUGGGAGUGGGUUGCAAAAGAAGUAGGUAGCUUAACCUUCGGGAGGGCGCUUACCACUUUGUGAUUCAUGACUGGGGUGAAGUCGUAACAAGGUAACCGUAGGGGAACCUGCGGUUGGAUCACCU